rnacentral:rRNA from 1 species
GAUGAACGCUAGCUACAGGCUUAACACAUGCAAGUCGAGGGGCAGCAUGUCGGUUGCUUGCAACCGAUGAUGGCGACCGGCGCACGGGUGAGUAACGCGUAUCCAACCUUCCCCAUAGUAGAGAAUAGCCCGGCGAAAGUCGGAUUAAUGCUCUAUGUUCUUCCUGGAUGGCAUCUGAUGGGAAGCAAAGGUUCACCGCUAAGGGAUGGGGAUGCGUCUGAUUAGCUUGUCGGCGGGGUAACGGCCCACCGAGGCGACGAUCAGUAGGGGUUCUGAGAGGAAGGUCCCCCACAUUGGAACUGAGACACGGUCCAAACUCC